UAAUAAGUGUUUUACGGCACUUUUUUAAAUCCAUAUCCACCUUGUGUGCAAUGUCAGUCGAUCUUCUUUAUGGAGAUUGGCCAAACAUCAACCAUAUCUUUUAACUCUUUGUCUGAAAAAUAUUAUGAAUAAACAAUUCAAAAUA
rnacentral:misc_RNA from 1 species